GAGAAGAUGAACUUAUUUGGAAAAAAGAAUUUGUUCUAAAGAGUAUUUUGUAUUUUCUUUUAUGUAUAAGAAAAAGCCAGAGAAAAAUUCUGAGUGGAAACUAUGCCUCAUUGAAAACGGUGUUUUGGACAAAUCAUGUAAUUUUUCAGUGACUGGUGGUUAAGACACUGAAUCAAAAUGAUUACCAUGUAUUAAAUACCUAUGCUGUGUAGGAUACUAUACCUAGCACAUUAGAUAAAAUACCGAAUUUCAUGAUAAUCUGAACUUUAAAUGUAGACAAUCCUGUCCUUGUUUUUCAGAUAAGAGAAGAGACCUCAGAAAUGUUGGGUUACUUCUCUAUUUACAAUAAUUGUAUAUACCCUAAAAGAAGGAAUUUUAAUCCAGUUUGACACCAAAAUUCAAGUUAUUUUACUACAUCCUGCUAAGUGAAAAAAGGCUGCAUAUUUGUGGCCCUCUAGUAAGCAAACUGUAUUCAUCAAUAAAAGUCGACCACAAUGGAGUCACCUUACUGAGAAGAGAUACUGCCACAUUGAACCUGACACUGAUUAGUAAAUAAAUUUGUGAUGCAUGAAGUAAGGAAGAAGAAAGAAUUGGAAUAACUGGAUGGACCUAAUAACAUCUAGGAUGCAGAGCCUCCUGCCACAAGAUCAUCCCUAAGGUUUCAAUGGAAAUAUGACAUUAUUGUGUUUAGCUUUACACAGAGGAAAAGGAAAAGAGAGUCCAGCCCACGUGUAGCUGGCCCUGUCUGCUCAAAGCACCUUGCAGAAAACUCAUUUGCUGCGUUUAUUGGCCACAGAACCUGCCUCCUAACUGGGAGCUGCAUUAGGGAAGACACAGGCGCUGAUCCUUGUUUUGUACCUGCACCAGCCCAGUCCCUGGUACACAAAACAUGUUUAAUAUAUAAAUAUGUUUGAAUUAAUCUUGUCCCUACAUUCUCUCUCUGCUCAUCAG
rnacentral:lncRNA from 1 species